GGCUAUACCAAAAGUACAUACCGGCAACCCGAGGCACAGAGACUUCACGCGCACAAGGGUCGUCGUUGCGGAAGCAAGAGUGAGAGAGAGGGAGAAGGAAAAAGGAAGCUCAAAAGCACGAGAAAGAGAGAACCCGUGCGAUCGAUACGCCCGAACUUAUUUUGGAUUAUUUUCAACUCUUCACGCCGGGGGAGGGAACAGGAGAAUGCUGCUCGGAGGUUGAGGGAGGAAAAGCUUCUUGCCAGGCGUUAUCAAGGCCCACCAAGUGAGACGUAUCAACCCACGCAAUUAAGAGACACUCCGAGGGUUAGCAUCUCCAGAUGGAUAUUUAUGGAGGCGAUAUAUACGUGUAUAGAUGCGAGAGACAUAACGAAGUGAAUAAAUCGUGAGAUCGCGAGUGUUCCCAAUGGAUCGAUUAUAAAUAAGACAGUAAUCAGGCAAUCAGCGGAUCGUCGGAGCGAGGAUAUGACUUCCGAUCCUGGAUAUAACUCACCCGGGGGAUCGGACACAUUGCUGAAAAAAUGGGUGCUUAACUAACUCAAAUCAAUUACGGAAAAAGUUACAUUUUCUGGUUGAAGAAUCACCUCGGAUUCUUAUCGAGGGCUGAGAGUUACCGAAUAAGAUCGCGAUCGUUUUGUUUUCCUUCUAAUUGAUGGCGAAACUCCAUAUUCAUGUAUUGCUGGCUGCAAGCUUAUUGUCCCGGUCUUACUUGUUCCGCUGAUAGAGCGAGCUUCAAAUUUCUCUAUCAAAUGCCCUGGAACAUGGUCCCGGAUCUUUUGUUUGGAAGCAGAGGAAGAGCCAGGGUAAUGGAAUCCGUACGCGUCGCGCCGAGAAAUCUUGGGAACUCGGUAUUGUUGAAAAGUGUUAGCGAACAAGAGUAGAAAGAGAGCAAGAGAAAAUAGGAUGAGCACGGUGCGUUUACAACUUUUUGCUGAAUCGAACGAGAGAGUCUCGAAGAAUUGUUCGGGAUCGGUGUGCCUUGAAUGCGUUUCGUAAAGAACGCCCUAAGAACGGAGAAGAAACGCGAGAGAAGGAGGGAAGAUGAGAAAGAAGGGAACGAGAGAAGGUGAGAGGCUGCGAACGGUGUUACGCUUCGUUACGAGCCUCUCAGCGCUGUUAUA